GUAGGCAUAGUUUAAUCAAAACGUUAGAUUGUGAUUCUGAAAAAAAGGGUUAAAAUCCCUUUGUCCACC
rnacentral:tRNA from 1 species